GUCUGUUGGCUUACCACCCUGAACUUGCCUGAUCUCAUCUGGUCUCCAAAGCUAAGCAGGGCCAGGUUGGAUUAGUAGUAUUUGAAUGCAAGACCAAAAGAAG
rnacentral:rRNA from 1 species